rnacentral:rRNA from 1 species
GGAACGAACGCUGGCGGCAGGCCUAACACAUGCAAGUCGAACGCUCGUAGCAAUACGGGAGUGGCGCACGGGUGAGUAACGCGUGGGCACCUGCCCGGUGGUUUGGGAUAACCGUGGGAAACUGCGGCGUAAUACCGGAUACGCCCCUAGGGGGAAAGAUUUAUCGCCAUCGGAUGGGCCCGCGUAGGAUUAGCUAGUUGGUGAGGUAACGGCUCACCAAGGCGACGAUCCUUAGCUGGUCUGAGAGGAUGAUCAGCCACACUGGGACUGAGACACGGCCCAGACUCCUACGGGAGGCAGCAGUGGGGAAUA